rnacentral:miRNA from 1 species
AGGUCAGUCGGCUCAGUUCAGUGUUGGUGAGUGUCUAGACACAGGUUAAAAAUAGCAGAUUUGUGUCUCUAGCAGAGAUGUAGCACAGGAUAGCCUAGUUGGCCA